rnacentral:pre_miRNA from 1 species
AGAGGAAUUGCUAGGUCAUAAUGGUAACUCUACACUAAAGUUCUUAAGAAAUUUUCAAACUGUGUUAAAAAUUAUUCACCAUUUUACAUUCCCACCAGCAAU